UACGGAAGGCAGCAGUGGGGAAUAUUGCACAAUGGGCGCAAGCCUGAUGCAGCCAUGCCGCGUGUAUGAAGAAGGCCUUCGGGUUGUAAAGUACUUUCAGCGGGGAGGAAGGCGAUGUGGUUAAUAACCGCGUCGAUUGACGUUACCCGCAGAAGAAGCACCGGCUAACUCCGUGCCAGCAGCCGCGGUAAUACGGAGGGUGCAAGCGUUAAUCGGAAUUACUGGGCGUAAAGCGCACGCAGGCGGUCUGUUAAGUCAGAUGUGAAAUCCCCGGGCUUAACCUGGGAACUGCAUUUUGAACUGGCAGGCUUGAGUCUCGUAGAGGGGGUAGAAUUCCAGGUGUAGCGGUGAAAUGCGUAGAGAUCUGGAGGAAUACCGGUGGCGAAGGCGGCCCCUGGGACGAAGACUGACGCUCAGGUGCGAAAGCGUGGGGAGCAAACGAGGAUUAGGAACC
rnacentral:rRNA from 1 species